GAGAAAGUGAGAAAUUUCCAGUGCUCUGGACCCUGGGAAGAAUGUGACCCUCAUCCGCAGCGGCAACCACUACAAGAAGUAACUACUGUGUGUCAGGCAAAGACAGGGCCCAGGAGUUCAGGCGGAUUCUUUACUGUCUUAGCCACCAGGGAAGCUCUGCUGACCACAAAUCCUUGAUAGAUGACUCCCAGAAAGAAGACAGACUCAGCCUCCAAGUGUGUCUGAUUAAACCUACUCAGUCUUACUUCUUGAGGAUCUA